AAUUUCUAGUUGCUGAUUUUUAUUUUCUCUCAACUUCCUUGGGUUUCUCUCUCCUUAGCUUCUGCGUUCUUCUCGUCUUCUCCUAGGGCUCAAAUUAAGAGGUCUAAAAUCCUCAGUAAUUUGCUACUUUCAAUUCUUGGUUUAUUCAAGAUCUAACGAUUUUUGGGUGAUUUUUUAAUGUCGCAAAUUGUAAUUUCAUUGAGUUCCGCAGAACUAAAUUUUGAUUCGAAAUUGAUAAUGAUUUUGGGGUCUUAAUGCUUGAGAAUCAAUUAUUGAUUGUUUGUGUUAAUUUAAGAAAUUGCGAAGUGAUUUGCGAUUCCUCACCAAGUCGCUAUUGUUGUUGUUCAUCGUCUAGGGUUUGUCCUCUUUGAACAAUGGCUUUCGCUUCCCGGAAUGAGGUACCAAACUCGUUACCACCUCGAAUGAACAAACCCACUUUACUUUCAUGGUCUUUUUCUAUGCCCAAUUUAAAUCUCUCACUCAAUUCUAGAGCUAAUUUGUCAAAUUCCUUUCCCAAACAGGAAAAUGCAUGGCUAAUUUAGUCGAUUUGAGACGUUUGUGUUGGCAGUGUUGCUGCUCAUUGCUACUCAUAAAUGCCGUUCUUGGAUGCUUUUGUUGUGUUUCUUUAUAAGCCUUGUAAUUUAUGUUUUUGUUUGUAUUUAAUGUAUAUUGCACAAUUAACAUAGAUUUUGAUAUAAUAGUAUAUAAUAUAGCUUUUAUAUUAAUUUGGAAAAAUUUCAUUUUUUUAUUUAGAGAAAUGAUUAUUCGCAACUGGUGUAGUCUUUAGCCAAUUGCAAAUAGAAUAUUUUUUAUUAAAAAAAUGGA